UUUUCUCAUCAACUUUUCUUCAUUUUUUUCUGGUUUCGUUUCAAGAAUUUUUUUUUUUAUUUUCAUCCAAGAAAAUAACUAUCACAUGAUUCAAUUAAAAAAUGAAUCAGUUUCUACAAUCAUCGAGCAUCUUUACAAAUAACAAAACAGCCAUAAUGAAUGUUUCUGGUUUAUUUCAAAUGGGGAAAAAAAAUUCUUGGAAAUAAUAAUUAUGAUGAAGACAAAAUAUGGAUGAUGUCGUUAAAAAAAAUGUAUAAAUCCUCAUCGAUUGGUAUUUUUGGAAAAACAAACAUCGACAGAAUGGAUAAAAACACCUGGCCCGAGAGUGCGUACAGUGCUUGAUCUUUUGUCUCAACCAGUAUUUUUUUUGGUUGACUUGAAACAUUUUUUUUUCAUUUCAGAAACAAAAAAUUUCAUUGAAUGAAAAAA